GUAGUCUCGCACAGAUGCAUAUCAAUAAGCGGAGGAAAAGAAACUAACAAGGAUUCCCUCAGUAACGGCGAGUGAAGCGGGAAGAGCUCAAAUUUGAAAUCUUAAAGGUCUACCUUCGACGAAUUGUAGUUUAAAGAAGUGUUUUCUGCUGAAGUUUUGGUAAAAGUUCUUUGGAAUAGGACAUCAUAGAGGGUGAGAAUCCCGUAUUUGACAUUAUUCAUUCUAGCUUUGUGAUACACUUUCAAAGAGUCGGAUUGUUUGGGAAUGCAGUCCAAAAUGGGUGGUAAAUUUCAUUCUAAGCUAAAUAUUGGCGAGAGACCGAUAGCGAACAAGUAGCCGUGAGGGAAAGAUGAAAAGAACUUUGAAAAGAGAGUUAAAUAGUACGUGAAAUUGUCAAAAGGGAAGCGUUUAACAGCCAGUGUUGUUUUCUGAAAAUCAACCUCUGUUAGCUUUAUGCAUGUUUGUUUAGACCUAAUCAGCUAUCUUGCAUGUUCUAUUGUUUGCAGUGGUGCACCUUUCAGUUUACAGGUCAACAUCAGUUUUUUUUACCGUAAAAAAGUUAAAGAAAGGUAGCUCAUGGCUCCGGUCGUGAGUGUUAUAGUCUUUUUCCUAUGCGGUAGGAGAGACUGAGGUCUGCAGUGUAGGCUAUUUGGCUAGAUACUCAGGUGCUAUGUGAUACCAUUUCAUAAACAACUUGUUGAUUAUGUUUUGUCUAUUGCAUACUCGCUUGUACUAUCAUACCUACGCUUAGGAUGUUGAGUCGUAGAGCACGCAG
rnacentral:rRNA from 1 species